AAACCUACCGACUCAAUCCUAAUUCCCAAAUCCAAUCUUAAACGCACGUAUAACCCCUCUUCCUUCUGAAAUCAUUCUCUCUCUCCCAGCCGUCUCCCAGCUUUGCUAUUCUCCUACCUAGCCGCCGCAUUCCUCUCGUCCGUUUUCGCUUUUCUUGCUCACCUUCGUUGCCGUCGCAAUUGUUGCCUUCCAGCCACUUUGUAGGCGUUGUCGUCGCUGUUACCUUGCUAUCGACUCCUCCCUUUCAGAGGCCUUGCAAUCACCGACGUUGCCUCUUAGACCACAGUUCGAAAAGUAGAAAAGGGUUUUGAAAUCAGUUUGAAGGAAAGUUUUGAAUGGGUGCGUAGUUGUUUUUAGCCGUAUCUUCCAUGGAGCAUUACCACCAGUCCAGAAAAUGGCUGAGCAGUUGGGAACCACUUGUUUAAUGGAACUUGACCCCUCCGUGACACAUGUACUUGCUACUAAUGCCGGAGCUAAGAAGGCCUGUGGGCAGUGAAAGAGAAGAAGCUUUUGGUUCAUCCGCGAUGGAUAGAGACUGCAAAUUAUUUUUGGAAAAAGCAACCGAAGAAAACUUCGUCCUCAAGAAAAAACAGUAGUAACUAGUAAUUUUUCUUGUAGCAUCACACACUUUGUUGUGUUUAUCUACUUUAGGUUUGUAAUUUGAUGCUUGAAGUUAUUUAUGAAUUUUUGUUGAUAAA